rnacentral:rRNA from 1 species
AGCAGCCGCGGUAAUUCCAGCUCCAAUAGCGUAUAUUAAAGUUGUUGCAGUUAAAAAGCUCGUAGUUGAAUUUCGAGACCGGUUUACUGGUCGUGCUUUUGUACGUACUGGUAUUAUUGGUUUCUCCUUUCUGACGAAUCAUAAUGCCAUUAAUUUGGUGUUUUGGGGAAUCAGGACUGUUACUUUGAAAAAAUUAGAGUGUUUAAAGCAGGCUCACGCUUGAAUACAUUAGCAUGGAAUAACGAAAUAGGACGUUUGAUUUUAUUUUGUUGGUUUCUAGGAUCGACGUAAUGAUUAAUAGGGAUAGUUGGGGCAUUAGUAUUCAAUUGUCAGAGGUGAAAUUCUUGGAUUUAUUGAAGACUAACUACUGCGAAAGCAUUUGCCAAGGAUGUUUUCAUUAAUCAAGAACGAAGUUAGGGGAUCGAAGACGAUCAGAUACCGUCGUAGUCUUAACCA